CCUACGGGAGACAGCAGUGGGGGAUAUUGCACAAUGGGGGAAACCCUGAUGCAGCGACGCCGCGUGUGGGAAGACGGUCCUCUGGAUUGUAAACCACUGUCCCCAGGGACGAAGAUGACGGUACCUGGGGAGGAAGCUCCGGCUAACUACGUGCCAGCAGCCGCGGUAAUACGUAGGGAGCGAGCGUUGUCCGGAAUUACUGGGUGUAAAGGGAGCGUAGGCGGGACUGCAAGUUGGGUGUCAAAUCUACCGGCUCAACCGGUAGCCGCACUCAAAACUGCAGUUCUUGAGUGAAGUAGAGGCAGGCGGAAUUCCUAGUGUAGCGGUGAAAGGCGUAGAGAUUAGGAGGAACACCAGUGGCGAAGGCGGCCUGCUGGGCUUUUACUGACGCUGAGGCUCGAAAGUGUGGGGAGCAAACAGGAUUAGAUACCCGUGUAGUC
rnacentral:rRNA from 1 species